GCUCUGAUCCCCGUUCUGCGCAUGCGCGAAAAAAGAAAAAAAGGUUAACGGCUCGGGCAACGUUUUUGUUUUGCUCAGAGGCUCGGCAAAUCGUCAGCGCGGGAAAGAUGGCAGUUGAAUGCGAGGUGCCCUCUCCAGUUCCCCUGAUGGAUCUGCGGAGUCGGAUAUCUGGCGCUGCGGAGAACCGAGCUGAUUGCAGUACCAGCACUCUGAAGCACUUAUUUGAGCAGGAAAGAUAAAGAGGAGCCGAUUACCCUUGAGAGGGAGGACCGGCUGCGGGCCGCACCCACGUGGAGACUGGAAGGGCGAGCCUCUCCAGGACAGCCCGUAUUUGGAUCUCCUGGUCUGAGCUGAUGAUUGCCAUCCUCCAGGCAUAAUCUCUGCUGAGAGGCUCGCCAUCGUGCAGCGCUAUGCAUUGCCAGAGCACGUGAGUGCUUUCUUGGAAACUUCCACAAGCGUCGUCCGAAAGGAAAGGGCCGCAGCCUUGCGGGAGACA